AUGAGUUGGACAAUCUACAACAACUCUUAGACAUAGAACCUGCUGCAACUACUACUCCUAGUAGUUCUGAUCCUUCUGAUUCUUCAGAUCCUUCUGUUGUUGGAAAAAUAUGAACUAGAAGAAACAUGUAAGAGCUACAUUCUUCAAUGUUGUGGAAAUUUGUUUAGAAGCUAUAGAAAUAAAAUGAAGGCCAAGUAUUAUAACCCUUAUAAUACAGAUGAGGAGAGAUUGUGCCAUCGACCUCCACACUUAUCGGAUGAUGAUUGGAGGUGGCUCAUCCACUUUUGGGGUACACCUGAGGCCAAG